rnacentral:rRNA from 1 species
GGGUUGUGAGGUUAAGCGACUAAGCGUACACGGUGGAUGCCCUGGCAGUCAGAGGCGAUGAAGGGCGUGCUAAUCUGCGAUAAGCGCCGGUAAGGUGAUAUGAACCGUUAUAACCGGCGAUACCCGAAUGGGGAAACCCAGUGUGACUCGUCACACUAUCAUUAACUGAAUUCAUAGGUUAAUGAGGCGAACCGGGGGAACUGAAACAUCUAAGUACCCCGAGGAAAAGAAAUCAACCGAGAUUCCCCCAGUAGCGGCGAGCGAACGGGGAGGAGCCCAGAGCCUGAAUCAGCAUGUGUGUUAGUGGAAGCGUCUGGAAAGGCGCGCGAUACAGGGUGACAGCCCCGUACACAAAAGCGCAUGUGCUGUGAGCUCGAUGAGUAGGGCGGGACACGUGGUAUCCUGUCUGAAUAUGGGGGGACCAUCCUCCAAGGCUAAAUACUCCUGACUGACCGAUAGUGAACCAGUACCGUGAGGGAAAGGCGAAAAGAACCCCGGCGAGGGGAGUGAAAAAGAACCUGAAACCGUGUACGUACAAGCAGUGGGAGCCCCACCACUAAGCCAGUGGUGAACUCCACAUACGCAUCCUUUGCUGAGGAUACGGUUAACGGAGCGAAAGCGACGUUCAACCGCAAAAGAAGCAGAGGGGGCUUAGUGGUGGGGUGACUGCGUACCUUUUGUAUAAUGGGUCAGCGACUUAUAUUCUGUAGCAAGGUUAACCGAAUAGGGGAGCCGGAGGGAAACCGAGUCUUAAUUGGGCGUUAAGUUGCAGGGUAUAGACCCGAAACCCGGUGAUCUAGCCAUGGGCAGGUUGAAGGUUGGGUAACACUAACUGGAGGACCGAACCGACUAAUGUUGAAAAAUUAGCGGAUGACCUGUGGCUGGGGGUGAAAGGCCAAUCAAACCGGGAGAUAGCUGGUUCUCCCCGAAAGCUAUUUAGGUAGCGCCUCGUGAAUUCAUCUCCGGGGGUAGAGCACUGUUUCGGCUAGGGGGCCAUCCCGGCUUACCAACCCGAUGCAAACUGCGAAUACCGGAGAAUGUUAUCACGGGAGACACACGGCGGGUGCUAACGUCCGUCGUGAAGAGGGAAACAACCCAGACCGCCAGCUAAGGUCCCAAAGUCAUGGUUAAGUGGGAAACGAUGUGGGAAGGCCCAGACAGCCAGGAUGUUGGCUUAGAAGCAGCCAUCAUUUAAAGAAAGCGUAAUAGCUCACUGGUCGAGUCGGCCUGCGCGGAAGAUGUAACGGGGCUAAACCAUGCACCGAAGCUGCGGCAGCGACACUGUGUGUUGUUGGGUAGGGGAGCGUUCUGUAAGCCUGUGAAGGUGUGUCGUGAGGCAUGCUGGAGGUAUCAGAAGUGCGAAUGCUGACAUAAGUAACGAUAAAGCGGGUGAAAAGCCCGCUCGCCGGAAGACCAAGGGUUCCUGUCCAACGUUAAUCGGGGCAGGGUGAGUCGACCCCUAAGGCGAGGCCGAAAGGCGUAGUCGAUGGGAAACGGGUUAAUAUUCCCGUACUUGGUGUUACUGCGAAGGGGGGACGGAGAAGGCUAUGUUGGCCGGGCGACGGUUGUCCCGGUUUAAGCGUGUAGGUGUGUGUUCCAGGUAAAUCCGGUUCACUUUAACACUGAGGCGUGACGACGAGGCACUACGGUGCUGAAGCAACAAAUGCCCUGCUUCCAGGAAAAGCCUCUAAGCAUCAGGUAACAUCAAAUCGUACCCCAAACCGACACAGGUGGUCAGGUAGAGAAUACCAAGGCGCUUGAGAGAACUCGGGUGAAGGAACUAGGCAAAAUGGUGCCGUAACUUCGGGAGAAGGCACGCUGACACGUAGGUGAAGUGAUUUACUCAUGGAGCUGAAGUCAGUCGAAGAUACCAGCUGGCUGCAACUGUUUAUUAAAAACACAGCACUGUGCAAACACGAAAGUGGACGUAUACGGUGUGACGCCUGCCCGGUGCCGGAAGGUUAAUUGAUGGGGUCAGCGCAAGCGAAGCUCCUGAUCGAAGCCCCGGUAAACGGCGGCCGUAACUAUAACGGUCCUAAGGUAGCGAAAUUCCUUGUCGGGUAAGUUCCGACCUGCACGAAUGGCGUAAUGAUGGCCAGGCUGUCUCCACCCGAGACUCAGUGAAAUUGAACUCGCUGUGAAGAUGCAGUGUACCCGCGGCAAGACGGAAAGACCCCGUGAACCUUUACUAUAGCUUGACACUGAACAUUGAGCCUUGAUGUGUAGGAUAGGUGGGAGGCUUUGAAGUGUGGACGCCAGUCUGCAUGGAGCCGACCUUGAAAUACCACCCUUUAAUGUUUGAUGUUCUAACGUGGACCCGUUACCCGGGUUGCGGACAGUGUCUGGUGGGUAGUUUGACUGGGGCGGUCUCCUCCUAAAGAGUAACGGAGGAGCACGAAGGUUGGCUAAUCCUGGUCGGACAUCAGGAGGUUAGUGCAAUGGCAUAAGCCAGCUUGACUGCGAGCGUGACGGCGCGAGCAGGUGCGAAAGCAGGUCAUAGUGAUCCGGUGGUUCUGAAUGGAAGGGCCAUCGCUCAACGGAUAAAAGGUACUCCGGGGAUAACAGGCUGAUACCGCCCAAGAGUUCAUAUCGACGGCGGUGUUUGGCACCUCGAUGUCGGCUCAUCACAUCCUGGGGCUGAAGUAGGUCCCAAGGGUAUGGCUGUUCGCCAUUUAAAGUGGUACGCGAGCUGGGUUUAGAACGUCGUGAGACAGUUCGGUCCCUAUCUGCCGUGGGCGCUGGAGAACUGAGGGGGGCUGCUCCUAGUACGAGAGGACCGGAGUGGACGCAUCACUGGUGUUCGGGUUGUCAUGCCAAUGGCACUGCCCGGUAGCUAAAUGCGGAAGAGAUAAGUGCUGAAAGCAUCUAAGCACGAAACUUGCCCCGAGAUGAGUUCUCCCUGAGACUUAGAGUCUCCUGAAGGAACGUUGAAGACGACGACGUUGAUAGGCCGGGUGUGUAAGCGCAGCGAUGCGUUGAGCUAACCGGUACUAAUGAACCGUGAGGCUUAACCUUACAACGCCGAAG